rnacentral:lncRNA from 1 species
AAAAACUUAGAAGACAGCCCCUACUGGAAACAGGAAAUAUGAGCAGUAAUCAUAAAGCCUGGAAAGGAUGUGCUGACUGAAGUCUUUAUGAGAUUUUUAAUGAGGAUUAGGAAAUCUGAGAUAGCAAAAUCUACUGUAUACAAAGAGGUUGUUGUGCAUGAAUCUUCAGACAAGUUUUAGAUCAGAAUCCUUUGUCAGCAACAGUAGGAUCCAGGAUAUCACAUGUAUGGAAAGUAAAAUUGGUGGAUCAAAAGACAACAUAAGAAAAGGUAUCUAUAAAACGUUAAGGUUAUACUAUUAAAAAAAAAAAAAAAAAAAAAAAAAAGAAGAGGGAAUAUACAAAGCACUUUGAAAAGCUUAUUUUGUGAUGGAACAGUUCAGAAUAUUUAUUAGAAUUCAACAUCCUAUUUUUUUGCCUUCUUUUAAAACAAAAUUCCUGAAUUUUAGUGAAGGAAAGUCUGGAAAGUCUAAACAUAUUGCAAGCUUUUAAAAGUCAUGGGAAAUCUACCACAACUUGGGCAGUUAAUGACCUAAUGACCUCUGGGUUAACCUAAUGAGUCCUCUUCAGCAAGCAAGGGCACAGAAAAGGAAGCUAUCUUCUCAAACAGAUAAGGUCAAUUUGCCAGCAGAAAUUAUCCUCCUCUCAGAGUUGAGAAUAAAUGGUUUCCGGUUGUCCA